rnacentral:rRNA from 1 species
ACUCCUACGGAGGCGAGCAGUGGGAAUAUUGGGACAAUGGGGCACCCUGAUCCAGCCAUGCCGCGUGAGUGAAGAAGGCCCUAGGGUCGUAAAGCUCUUUCAACUGUGAAGAUAAUGACGGUAGCAGUAGAAGAAACCCCGGCUAACUCCGUGCCAGCAGCCGCGGUAAUACGGAGGGGGUUAGCGUUGUUCGGAAUUACUGGGCGUAAAGCGCACGUAGGCGGACUAUUAAGUUAGAGGUGAAAUCCCAGGGCUCAACCCUGGAACUGCCUUUAAUACUGGUAGUCUUGAGUUCGAGAGAGGUGAGUGGAAUUCCGAGUGUAGAGGUGAAAUUCGUAGAUAUUCGGAGGAACACCAGUGGCGAAGGCGGCUCACUGGCUCGAUACUGACGCUGAGGUGCGAAAGUGUGGGGAGCAAACAGGAUUAGAUACCCUGGUAGGUGA